GAUUCACUCUAAGGCCAUAAAUCGAAAAAUGUCAUCGGCUUAUCCCCAUUAGAUCUACUUACUAAGUGAUUAACAAGUUAAGAAGCUUCCGAAAACUCUUAAUACCAGUGUCAUAAGGUCAACUUAUUAUUCACUUUUGUGCAUCGGAAGUUAGCGCAUCUCGAGUCUAAUUAUCGCAACGUGUGAGUCAUCAAAACUUAACACUUUGUUUUUGAGUGUCACUAUUCCAAAUCAAGUGUUUACGUAUGGUGACAGUAUGGAGGUCCAAGACCAAGGUAAAGUUUUCAAAUGUUCUGUUUCGAGGACGACUAUUUUUGACAUUUGGCACUCUAAAGAGGGUAGUCCAAAUGAAAAAUGCAACAUGUCCUGAAUACUUUUACAGAAACAUCGUGCCUUUCGGAUGACAUCGAAAAUAUCAAACUAGAGACUUUAAGUAAUAAAAUUAUGAAUGUA
rnacentral:lncRNA from 1 species